UAAAGCGUCCGUAGCCGGUUAAUAAGUCUCUGGUGAAAUCCUGUAGCUUAACUGUGGGAAUGCUGGAGAUACUAUUAGACUUGAGACCGGGAGAGGUUAGAGGUACUCCCAGGGUAGAGGUGAAAUUCUGUAAUCCUGGGAGGACCGCCUGUUGCGAAGGCGUCUAACUGGAACGGUUCUGACGGUGAGGGACGAAAGUUAGGGGCGCGAACCGGAUUAGAUACCCGGGUAGUCCUAACCGUAAACGAUGCGGACUUUGGUGUUGGGGUGGCUUUGAGCUGCUCCAGUGCCGAAGGGAAGCUGUUAAGUCCGCCGCCUGGGAAGUACGGUCGCAAGACUGAAACUUAAGGAAUUGGCGGGGGAGCACCACAACGCGUGGAGCCUGCGGUUUAAUUGGAUUCAACGCCGGACAUCUCACCAGAGGCGACAGCUGUAUGAUAGCCAGGCUGAUGACUUUGCUUGACUAGCUGAGGGGAGGUGCAUGG
rnacentral:rRNA from 1 species